UGGCUCCCGAAUCUCCUUCAAAUCAGUUUUUUAUUAUUCUGCACUAAGAUGAGGAUGUGUGAUUGAAUGCUAAAUUCUCUGAAAGCUUAACACUAUGGAGGUCUUUCUGAACAGACGUCUCAGGACACGAGGUUUUGGCUCCAGAACCUCCUUCAAAUAUUUUUUUUUUUUAUUCUGCUCAAAGAUGAGGAUGGAUGCUAAAAAUCUCUGAAAGCACAAUACUAUGGAGGUCUUUCUGAACAGAUGUCUCAGGACACGAGGGUACCAGAGUUUAAUCACUACAUUUUCAUAUGUAGGAGCGCAUCACAAUGUUGAAUUACAAAAAAAAAAAAUAAUAAUAAU